CUACGGGUGGCACCAGUGAGGAAUAUUGCACAAUGGGGGGAACCCUGAUGCAGCAACGCCGCGUGGAGGAUGACGCAUUUCGGUGUGUAAACUCCUUUUAUAUGUCAAGAAAAUGACGGUAGCAUAUGAAUAAGCACCGGCUAACUCCGUGCCAGCGGCCGCGGUAAUACGGAGGGUGCAAGCAUUACUCGGAAUCACUGGGCGUAAAGGACGCGUAGGCGGGUUGGAAAGUCAGGUGUGAAAUCCUACAGCUUAACUGUAGAACUGCACUUGAAACUUCUAAUCUAGAGUAUGGGAGGGGGAGAUGGAAUUAGUGGUGUAGGGGUAAAAUCCGUAGAUAUCACUAGGAAUACCUAAAGCGAAGGCGAUCUCCUGGAACAUUACUGACGCUAAGGCGUGAAAGCGUGGGGAGCAAACAGGAUUAGAUACCCCGGUAGUC
rnacentral:rRNA from 1 species